rnacentral:rRNA from 1 species
GAUCAUGGCUCAGGAUGAACGCUGGCGGCGUGCCUAACACAUGCAAGUCGAACGGAAUUUACAUGAAGCCUAGCGAUUGUAAAUUUAGUGGCGGACGGGUGAGUAACGCGUGGGUAACCUGCCUUGUACUGGGGGACGAACAGUUGGAAACGACUGCUAAUACCGCAUAAGCGCACAGCUUCGUCAUGAAGACAGUGUGAAAAACUAACCGGUCGGUACGAAGAAUAGGACCCGGCCCGGUCCGUCGUAGUUAAG